rnacentral:rRNA from 1 species
CCUACGGGGCGCACCAGUGGGGAAUAUUGCACAAUGGGCGCAAGCCUGAUGCAGCCAUGCCGCGUGUAUGAAGAAGGCCUUCGGGUUGUAAAGUACUUUCAGCGGGGAGGAAGGCGAUAAGGUUAAUAACCUUGUCGAUUGACGUUACCCGCAGAAGGAGCACCGGCUAACUCCGUGCCAGCAGCCGCGGUAAUACGGAGGGUGCAAGCGUUAAUCGGAAUUACUGGGCGUAAAGCGCACGCAGGCGGUCUGUCAAGUCGGAUGUGAAAUCCCCGGGCUCAACCUGGGAACUGCGUCCGAAACUGGCAGGCUAGAGUCUUGUAGAGGGGGGUAGAAUUCCAGGUGUAGCGGUGAAAUGCGUAGAGAUCUGGAGGAAUACCGGUGGCGAAGGCGGCCCCCUGGACAAAGACUGACGCUCAGGUGCAAAAGCGUGGGGAGCAGACAGGAUUAGAUACCCCAGUAGUC